AACGAACGCUGGCGGCAGGCCUAACACAUGCAAGUCGAUCGCACCUUCGGGUGAGCGGCGGACGGGUUAGUAACGCGUGGGAACGUGCCCUUCUCUACGGAAUAGCCUCUGGAAACGGAGAGUAAUACCGUAUACGCCCUUUGGGGGAAAGAUUUAUCGGAGAAGGAUCGGCCCGCGUUAGAUUAGGUAGUUGGUGGGGUAACGGCCUACCAAGCCUACGAUCUAUAGCUGGUUUUAGAGGAUGAUCAGCAACACUGGGACUGAGACACGGCCCAGACUCCUACGGGAGGCAGCAGUGGGGAAUCUUAGACAAUGGGGGCAACCCUGAUCUAGCCAUGCCGCGUGAGUGAUGAAGGCCUUAGGGUCGUAAAGCUCUUUCGCCUGUGAUGAUAAUGACAGUAGCAGGUAAAGAAACCCCGGCUAACUCCGUGCCAAAG
rnacentral:rRNA from 1 species